rnacentral:rRNA from 1 species
GAAAAGAAACCAACCGGGAUUGCCUUAGUAACGGCGAGUGAAGCGGCAAAAGCUCAAAUUUGAAAUCUGGUACCUUCGGUGCCCGAGUUGUAAUUUGGAGAGGGCAACUUUGGGGCCGUUCCUUGUCUAUGUUCCUUGGAACAGGACGUCAUAGAGGGUGAGAAUCCCGUGUGGCGAGGAGUGCGGUUCUUUGUAAAGUGCCUUCGAAGAGUCGAGUUGUUUGGGAAUGCAGCUCUAAGUGGGUGGUAAAUUCCAUCUAAAGCUAAAUAUUGGCGAGAGACCGAUAGCGAACAAGUACAGUGAUGGAAAGAUGAAAAGAACUUUGAAAAGAGAGUGAAAAAGUACGUGAAAUUGUUGAAAGGGAAGGGCAUUUGAUCAGACAUGGUGUUUUGUGCCCUCUGCUCCUUGUGGGUAGGGGAAUCUCGCAUUUCACUGGGCCAGCAUCAGUUUUGGUGGCAGGAUAAAUCCAUAGGAAUGUAGCUUGCCUCGGUAAGUAUUAUAGCCUGUGGGAAUACUGCCAGCUGGGACUGAGGACUGCGACGUAAGUCAAG